CUUGGAUGUAGACAUAGAACAUAUAUGUGAGCAAAUAACAAGAGGAAUCUAACAUUCUUAUCGGGACAGCUGUGCUUUUGAGUUUGAUCCGUGGUCCUCUGAAUACACGAAUACUCUAUGGAACAAACCUUUUCAAAUGUAGCCACGUUCAGCUGAAGAUGAAAGAACUUCUACGUCUUAGCCUUAAUUGCUGUCUGUAAGACUUUGCUUCC